rnacentral:rRNA from 1 species
UACAGAGGAUGCAAGCGUUAUCCGGAAUGAUUGGGCGUAAAGCGUCUGUAGGUGGCUUUUUAAGUCCGCCGUCAAAUCCCAGGGCUCAACUCUGGACAGGCGGUGGAAACUACCAAGCUGGAGUACGGUAGGGGCAGAGGGAAUUCCUGGUGUAGCGGUGAAAUGCGCAGAUAUCGGAAGGAACAUCAGUGGCGAAAGCGGCUUCCUGGUCCAGCACCGACGUCAGGCACGAAAGCGUGGGGAGCAAACAGG